rnacentral:pre_miRNA from 1 species
CAUAUACUCCCUCCGUCCUAAAAGUCUUGUCUUCAAUUUAUCUAAAUAUGAAUGUAUCUAGUCACGUUUUAUUAUUUAGAUACAUNNNNNUCUAGAUAAAUUUAAGACAAAUUUUUUG